ACAUCUCUCCUGUCUCUCUACUUAAAUACAGUUCUAGAAUAUAUUGACAUACUGACACAGGUAAACAGUCAUGCACACUGGAACUGGAACCACCUAACCUAGGGGCAGCAGAACAAGCUGUAAUCUAUGGGUGGAAAUCACCAGAGGUCCCACAAUAUUAAUUCACGUAAUUACUGGAAAAAAGUAACAAAAUAAAGAUAAGUUGUGAGGCUAAUCCUGCCUGUUAUGCUUAUCCUGUUGUGAUUUGACACUAUAAAUUAAAUUGAAUUGAAUAUCAGUUCCCAGCAUCUGUUGAAAACACAUAAGUCUGCAUGCUCACACAUAAUCAUAACUCUACGCAAGCAUAUUAGCUCAUUAGUACGAUUAGUCACUAGAAAGAAAAGAGAGACUGAUAACGCACAUAAUAGGCCUUUUAUCAGAAAAGACACUUACAAUAUGGUAAAAGUAAUACAAUAAUCUAUGGCUGAAUUCCAUUUAAAUGCAUAGUCUUCAGGGUCCUGGCAUCACACAUGCUGGCUUACUGUCACACUGUCAUGGCUCACUGGGACACUUGAAUAGAACAGAGCCACCGUUAAUGUUACUACACUUUCUUUUCUACAUUAAAAUGUCUGCUGUGAAAGUGGCCUAUUAUGAUGCUUCUAUCAGACACAGUAAGUUAUAA